rnacentral:lncRNA from 1 species
CUAAACUCGUCUCUCUCAUCUCUCAUUCUUAGAGACCAUAACCCUUAACCUUAAUCUGUCGCCCCAUUUUCUACCAUAUCCGCCGGACAGCGCCACCUCCAAAUCACCCUAAAUUAACACCCUACAACCCACAUGAUACCCUCAUACAGAAUCCACAACCAUUUUCCUUUGAAUCAUACUAGAACCUCUCAAAUAUUAGAUCAAAGAUCUGAACCCUAAAAUACCAAAACCCCUAAUUCGAGAUUUCUUGAAAAUUUGAGGUCUAAUUUGACUUUAUUCAUAUGUUCUUGAUAAGAACACAUGAUUAAUACUAAAAUUGACAGGAAAUUUGAAGAUUUGCAGUUUCUUUUCAAUUAUUUACUGGACCGAGAUUUUUGUUUAUGUAUUUUUCCUUUAUCUUUGAUAGUUAAUUUCUAUUUUUGUUCUCUUCUCAUUUCGUCUAGUUUUUUUUUCUUUUUCUGACUUUUGUUUCCCGUGUUUGCAAGUUCAGUCUUUGAAUUUGUAAUUAAUAUUUUCUGUUUUUGAAUUUUAAUGUGCUUCAGAGUUUCUGUUUCUACUUUGGGCCCAAAAUUGCACGAGUCUUUGGGACUCUAUAAAUGAACUUGUAAAGUUUCUAAGCUUUCAAUUGUGGAAAUUAGGUUACAUUGAAAUCAGAAGUCCAAAAGGGGCUUGGACUUUGGUUUUGCAAAUUUAACAAUUGGGUCAAUUUGGUUCGUGACCCGUUUCGCUUCAAGGGUAAAAACAUGGCUCUUGGGUGUAAUCUAGGAAAUCAAGGUGAGGGAAUAAUCUGUAACUAACUUAGGAAGUUUCCUAGAAGCUGGGGUAGGGAUUAAUCUGAAAAUCUGAAUUUUACACUAAGGGUGUCUAAGCAAAAAUGAAAAUUGAAAAAAGGUUUAAGUGCAGAACUAGUUGAAUUUCUGCAGCCCUAAAAGCUUGCCUGUAAAGGCACACUUUCUUCUUAAACAAUGCACAUUUUAAGAGAUAAAAAUCCUGCAAAACUGAACGGCUGAAUUUCUGAGAUAAACUAUGAAUUAACACUGAGAUUCAUCAUAUUUCUCUGAUGAAAUAGCUCAAAUUCUACUUAGUUUAGGUUUUUCGACUCUGCUUAUUAGCUAGAACUUCAAAAAGCAUUUCAAAUCCCUACACCUAGUUGAAAAAUUGUUUGAUUCUUGAAUUUAAAGGGUUGGUUUGAAGCUGUUUGGUUUUUGGGUUUUAUUGUUGCAUUGUUAGCUCUUUAAAGCUGGUUUCUGCUGCUCUUCUUCUGCUGAACCUUCACUUCUUUGUUUCUCUUUAUUUCCAGGUAUAUGAUCUCUGAAUUCUACUACAUAUGAGACUUGAAUUGAAGAGUGAAAUAAAAAAAUGAAAGUUUGAAGCCUAGCAUUAAGUCAUUUGUCCAUAGUUUAGUUAAUUUCUUUUUCUUUUCUUUGAAUCCCUUAUUUUCUUGAAAUUAUUUCAUCCAUGUUUGCUACUCUUUCAACAUUUAAUGAUGGAUAUUGUAUUACAUUUUGUACUUAAGCUAUUUCUUUUAUUAAUCAUGUAUUGUGAAAGUUGAAGCUAUGCCUUUGAAAGUUUAGUAUCAUGUUGGAUUUGGGGUGGUAGAGAGAUCUAUGUAGUAGUUACAUGUUCGCUUCAGUUUUCUUUUUUGUACUCGUUUGGUAGAAGAACGAAUCCAUGUGACUUUAAAUCUUAGUGUAAUUUUGGGGUUCAAGUAAUUUGUAUACUAGUUCCUUAAAUUUGUUACUGCUUGGUAUUGAAAAAAGUUAAUUGAUUGGAAGUUUUCAGGUC